GUCCAGACUCCUACGGGAGGCAGCAGUGGGGAAUAUUGCACAAUGGGGGAAACCCUGAUGCAGCGACGCCGCGUGAGCGAUGAAGUAUUUCGGUAUGUAAAGCUCUAUCAGCAGGGAAGAAGAUGACGGUACCUGACUAAGAAGCCCCGGCUAACUACGUGCCAGCAGCCGCGGUAAUACGUAGGGGGCAAGCGUUAUCCGGAUUUACUGGGUGUAAAGGGAGCGUAGACGGCGAUGCAAGCCAGAUGUGAAAGCCCGGGGCUCGACCCCGGGACUGCAUUUGGAACUGUGUGGCUGGAGUGUCGGAGAGGCAGGCGGAAUUCCUAGUGUAGCGGUGAAAUGCGUAGAUAUCAGGAGGAACACCGGCGGCGAAGGCGGCCUGCUGGACCGCGACUGACGUUGAGGCUCGAAAGCGUGGGGAGCGAACAGGAUUAGAUACCCCAGUA
rnacentral:rRNA from 1 species